rnacentral:lncRNA from 1 species
CUUUUGAUUUUUAUAUUAAUUUUUUUGUAAUUUAUUUACUUAAUUUUGUUAUAUUUGAUAUUGUAGCCAACCAUUGUUGAUCAUGUUAUCCUGAACAAAGAAUUUUGUGUAGGAUGAAGUAGUUUAACUUCCAAGGGUUAAGGAAAAUUUAUUUUAUUAACUUUUGAAUAUUUUGUGAGUGUUGUUGUGAUAUUUCUGUGUAAUUUCCUUUUUUUAGAUGAUUUUUUUGAUAUUGAGGCACAUUUGGCUACUGAAAAAGUUUCGGGGAUGAAUGGAAAACUACUUCAAUCUCCUGAGGUUGGAAAAGAAAUGGAAAAAGUAAAUCAAUUUAAUAUUUUUUUUAAUAUUGUGCUAAUUUUUUUCUAUAAUUAUUUUUCCUUCAUUUUGAAUUUGGUUUUUGAAUUGUUAGAGUAUUGUUCUUGAUCAUUGGAGUGGGACGAAGAACAUAUUCACCGAAUUUCUUGAGAUUUCAAAAGGAGAUGAUGAAGUAGUCUUUCAAUUAUGCUUUUGAUUUUUAUAUUAAUUUUUUUGUAAUUUAUUUACUUAAUUUUGUUAUAUUUGAUAUUGUAGCCAACCAUUGUUGAUCAUGUUAUCUUGAACAAAGAGUUUUGUAGAGGAUGAAGUGGUUUCCCUUCCAAGGGUUAUGGAAAACUUAUUUUAUUAACUUUGUAAUAUUUUGUGAGUGUUGUUGUGAUAUUUUUGUUUAAUUUCCUUUUUUUUAAUUUAUUUUUUUAAAGGGUUAUGGAAAACUUAUUUUAUUAACUUUGUAAUAUUUUGUGAGUGUUGUUGUGAUAUUUUUGUUUAAUUUCCUUUUUUUUAAUUUAUUUUUUUGAUAAACAGGGUGUAGUAGUUGAUUUGAAGAAUCAAAUAUUGCGGUUCCAAAAGGAAUGUUUUUUUGCAUUUUAUUUUGCAUUUUGGGUGUAUAUUGAUAUUAAUUGAGUAAAGUUUUUUUGUUUUUUUUGUGUUGUAUGUGUGUUUAAUGAUAAUGUGCUAUAUCAUUCCUUAAACACAAAGAAUGUAGAAUAACAUAUUUUGA